rnacentral:rRNA from 1 species
UACGGAGGGUGCAAGCGUUGUCCGGAAUCAUUGGGCGUAAAGCGCGUGUAGGCGGUUCGGUAAGUCUGCUGUGAAAGUCCAGGGCUCAACCCUGGGAUGCCGGUGGAUACUGUCGGACUAGAGUACGGAAGAGGCGAGUGGAAUUCCUGGUGUAGCGGUGGAAUGCGCAGAUAUCAGGAGGAACACCAAUAGCGAAGGCAGCUCGCUGGGACGUUACUGACACUGAGGCGCGAAAGCGUGGGGAGCGAACAGG